CACGUAGGUGGCGAGCGUUAUUCGGAUUCACUGGGCGUAAAGGGUCCGCAGGGGGCCUGGCAAGUCUGCCGUGAAAUUCCAGGGCUCAACCCUGGACGUGCGUUGGAAACUGCCGGGCUUGAGUUUAUGAUGGGCAGACGGAACACCUGGUGUAGCGGUGGAAUGCGUGGAUAUCAGGUGGAACCCCGAUGGCGAAGGCGGUCUGCUGGCAUAAUACUGACCCUCAGGGACGAAAGCGUGGGUAGCAAACAGG
rnacentral:rRNA from 1 species